AAACUCUGGUGCAGGAACCCCGCAGACUACUACAACAGUAGCUAGUAUCAAUAAUCAGAGUUUUGAAGAUCCUUUUGGUGACACUCCUUUUAAAGCUUUGCCUUCUAAUGAUGGUGCCCCCCAAUACCAUUCUUCUGCUGUGACAGAACCUCUACAGUCUUCCCUACCCCAAAACGUUGGACAAUCCCCUCCUUCUACAAUGACAGA
rnacentral:misc_RNA from 1 species